rnacentral:tRNA from 1 species
GCCCAGGUGGCGAAAUUGGUAGACGCACUAGUUUCAGGUACUAGUAGAUAAAUCUGUGGAGGUUCGAGUCCUCUCCUGGGCACCA